UCUUACGUACUACGUAUAGCGUUUUCGCCUUACGAAUUGCGUUUGUCGAAACGUCAAGCUGUUCACACACAACGCUCUACGUAGUACGUAAUUCGUAAACUGAAAACGGAGUGAAAACGAAGUCAAAACGUAACUAUGUAAAAAUGAGAUGGCUCUCAUUUUUACAUAAGAUUUUUGAACGUUCUACGCACUACGUAGACAAAAUCUAGUUCGCUUGUCUUCAAUCUUUUGUUUUUUGUUUGAUUUCAGCUGUUUAGUCUGUUCUCAUACCUGAAAUCUCGACACUGUUGAUGUCUGCUAUCUCCAUUUUUAAAUUCUGAUAAUAAUCCUAUUCUGGAAAGUUGUUCAUCAUGUCUCCUCCAAGUGUUAAAAAAAAGUCCCCGUCGAAGAGCUUCAAGUCACCCAAAAAGAAGUCACCAAAGAAAAAACAAGUCGUCAAGGAAAUGGUGUGAUGAAGAACGUGAGGCUUUGAUAGAAGCUGUCAAGAAACACCCAAGUCUCUAUGAUACAAACUCCAAAUCCUACAAAGACAUCACUGUGAAGACAAACGCCAAGUUGGAGAUCUCACACCUCUUUGAAGAUUGCACUGUUGAAGAUGUGACCACUCAAUGGACACAACUUGUCGACAAAUUCAGAAGAGUAAGAAAGGUGUCCAACAUCAAAGAUGCAACAGGGACUUCUGCUGAAGAUUCAAGUCACGUCCAACUGCCACAGUGGGACUUGUAUCACACUAUGUCUUUUUUUUACCAACACAUAAAAUAGAGAACGUUUUCUAAUGUAUCUUCAGCAAAGGUGGUAAACAUUGAUUUGGUUGAAGGAAGUACUGGUCUGGAUCAAAUGAAUACUGGAAAAAUUGACAAUACCGACAAAGAAUUCUAUAUAAUCUUAUUCGAUGACGAGUCAUUGGUGUCACUCGAUAAUCAGUCAAUAUGUGUUGAAAACGAUUCUCAUUUGAUCAGCGAGGAUUCUCUUUCAAUAUCUGGUACAGAUUCCAUGAUAAAACCGUGUGCGAAAAAUGUACUGGCAUUAAAACAAGUCAAUAGAUAUAUUUUUACAAAAUACUCUGAACUUGUACACGAACAUGAAAUGUACACAAAUUGACAACCACGACAUCUAUGAGUAGAAAGUGAAAGUUUGAAUUUACGUUAAAAACCAACUUUAUACGUAAGUGCAAAGUGCAGUGUGAACAGACUACAAAGUUUUUAACGUAAGUCAGAAACGAAGUGAAAAUUACGUAGAGAAAACGUAAACGGAAAACGUAAUACGUAAUAAGCAAUACGCAGAAAAGGGCUGUAGUGUGAACGUACCUUAAAUGCCAAAAAUAAUUUCAAUUCUUUACUACAAACUAAAGUACGUAGUUUUAGCGACACCCAGAGAUUAUAAGUAAAAAAAUGAUUUUUAGACGAUCAAAAUUGGUUUUUCAAAUAUUUUGAAACCUACUAGACUUGCAACACUUUAUCAUUUUUUUUAAAAGAAGUAUUUUGUUUUCAGGAUGUUAUGAAUAUAGCCAGUUCAGUACUAAGAAGAAAAAAUUUUCUGCUGGAAUUCCAGUCACGGAAAAGAUGUUGAUGACAUUUUGGCGUAUCGCAAACAGAGAAUCUUUCAGAGAACUAUAAAAAGGUUUGAUCUUAAUUCUUGAAAUGUCGAUUACAUCGUUUUUUAAGAAUUUUUCACAAAUUUUACAGUAGACAGUGUUUUUAUUACGUAGCCGACAAGGGAUCAACAAGAGGGUCUUUCAGAAAAACAAAUCUUGCUAAUACUAUUGGUAACAAAUAAUUGAGAUAUAGCAAUCUCUCAAAAAAUUGCCAACUUGUGCAAGUGCAAGUGCAAGAAUAUAAUAAAAGUGAAAGUAGUUGCAACUUGCAACGAUUCAUUGAUGUCAGCGUCGGUUGGCCUGUAUCAAUGCGUGUUUCAAGAAUUUUUCGUAAUAGUUCGUUGUCACAAUCAUUACAAGUCCAAUCAAGUAACAAAAAAAACCUGCAGAUACUGCCUACCCAUUUAGUGUGUAUUUCUUGGUGUUAUUGAAAAGAAAUCUUGUA
rnacentral:lncRNA from 1 species